GUGUGGUAGUUCUGGAAUCUUUCGCAAUGGUUAUAUGACCCAACUAUUAUUAUAAGAAGAGUUGACCAUGGAAAUUACAGCUACAAGUAAAAGCCCUUCUAAAUUUCCCAAGGAAGUGUUAACCCGUGCACCUCCCAAUAUAAACGGGUUCUUAAAUGCUCGAGUCGUUUACAUAAUAAAUAGCGAUGACAAUACCCACAUUAUAAUGUUGCACUCUAUUUUUAUACCCGACGUUUUGUAAUGCCUAAUACACCGGAAGUCAAUGUAUCACACCUCUCAAAGCCGGAGAGUCAGUCGGGAUUUCCGACUACGUACCGGUGAUCGGUUCCGUUAAACCGCUGACUUCCCGCAGACUCACCCUUCCUCUACGCCGGUGGAAAAUUGCUUCCCCACGACCAGUAAAACCGGCCACGUCCGCCAUUUUGCCGUUCUACCCAGAAGGCAAGGCAAAAGUACAGAUAUCAUCAAGAAACGGCAAAUUCCAAGGAAGAGAGAAGGAAGGAGACUUUGAAACCAUACGGAGGCAACGGCACAUGUAACACGUGAAAUCUUUCUCCAAUCCUCGCUAGACCGUGAAAAUUGGAGCUUUCACGUUCAGAGGAAAAAUACGUAAAUUCACUUCUGGGUGACUCUUUGAAUUUUCAACUGUGUUCUGCCGUUGCCCGUUGCCGUUGCAACAAAAACAACUAAAUGUUCAGCGACAUAUCACAUAGGUAUUUUAAAAAUUAGUCAUAUCCUUUUAUAAUACAAAUUCUCACGCGUCAGCUAUAUUCACACAUAUCCAGAUAUCGGCUUCCCAUUGUGUAGAAAGCACCUUCGCGGCAAAAUCAAAAGCGCUGGCCAAUCAACGCGCGCGCUGUUUUCGUUCAGCCAAUCAGCGCUCGAACUGUCACAAUGCUGGCUGAAGCGGGUGAUUUUGAGCUUGUGUUUUGAAAACAGAGCAAACAAGCCCGAACUUGGAAGUAGUCGGCGAGGCGAAGAAGUCAAUAAAAAUGCCUGCUACAAUUCAAACUACCCCCUCUCAGUUCAACAAAGAAACGGAACAUCUACAAAGAAUUGCCUGGGCACCAAAAAAGAAAAAGCCCUUCCAGCGAAGGAUUUCUGUUCUACGAGAAGACGCGAGAAUUCAUUCACAAUGUCGAAAGCGGUUGGACUUCUCUUCAAUUGAAGUCGAGGAAGAACCAACACAAGAGGACGGCGAGGACUUUGAGCCUUUGCCAGGAGUCCAGUUGACUGGGUUUCCUAGUGGAGCUUCUAGUAAUGUCGUCCCAAAUACUCCGAACCUGAAACCUUUGCAAAUAGGUGAAGUUCCCGCUAAAAGUCAAGAGUUGCUAUUCGAUGCAGCGCCGACGAAAAAAGCGGCUCCUUUGCCGACUCGUAACCCAAAAUUACCGGUGAAACGAAAGCUGACACUGAGCUCAUUCAGAUAAAUUUGUUAGUCUGUGGACAGACAAAUUGUCCUUCAUUCACAAUUUCUACGAACUGGCAAGUUCUUGAAAUCUUUGCAUCUUCAAAUCUUCCGAAUUAUUUACGCGAGCGGGUGGCUUCGUUCCUCUUCUUCAUAUCGCUGCUUCUCUUCAGAAAGCCCAUUCUUUAGGCCUAUUAAAGACUUAUAAUUGCUAUUAUCAAGCGAGUUUAAAGGUUUAAAUGUAUGGUUAAUUAUGUAUAAAGAACUACAUCUGGCAUGUAGUAAGGAUCUAAAUUCAUUCAAAAAAAAAAUAUUGCGAAAAUUAUUCUGUGCUUGGAAUGGACGCUGGAACGAAUGGAAUGCAACGGAUAGGCGAAUCUGCCGAUACAGUAAAAAAAAAGAAGCAAUGACAUUCUAUAAGUCACUCUAUUUUCUUAUUGAUGGAGAUGACGUUUUCCUGCUGAGUCAGUUAACGACAGUUCAGCAUUUAUUGUAUAAAAUAUUGCCUUGAAAUAUAAGAAUAUAUUCAAAAUAAAUGUGAUUAUGAA